GGGGUUGUGGUGUAGUGGUAUCACGUUCGUUUCGCAUACGAAAGGCCUCCGGUUCGAACCCGGACAGCUCCA